CCUACGGGAGGCAGCAGUGAGGAAUAUUGGUCAAUGGGCGCGAGCCUGAACCAGCCAAGCAGCGUGAAUGAUGACUGCCCUCCGGGUUGUAAACUUCUUUUAUAAAGGAAUAAAGUGAGGCACGUGUGCCUUUUUGUAUGUACUUUAUGAAUAAGGAUCGGCUAACUCCGUGCCAGCAGCCGCGGUAAUACGGAGGAUCCGAUCGUUAUCCGGAUUUAUUGGGUUUAAAGGGAGCGUAGAUGGGUUGUUAAGUUAGUUGUGAAAGUUUGCGGCUCAACCGUACAAUUGCAUUUGAUACUGGCAGGCUUGAGUACAGUUGAGGUAGGUGGAAUGCGUGGUGUAGCGGUGAAAUGCUUAGAGAUGACGAAGAACUCCGAUUGCGAAGGCAGCUUACUGGACUGGCACUGACAUUGAUGCGCGAAAGUGUGGGUAGCAAACAGGAUUAGAUACCCUGGUAGUC
rnacentral:rRNA from 1 species